ACGAAGGGUGCAAGCGUUGUUCGGAUUUAUUGGGCGUAAAGCGCGCGCAGGCUGAUUAGUCAGCCAGAUGUGAAAUCCCAGGGCUCAACCCUGGAACUGCGUCUGGAACUGCUAAUCUAGAGUUAUAGAGGGGAGAGCGGAAUUUCACAUGUAGGGGUAAAAUCCGUAGAGAUGUGAAGGAACACCAGUGCCGAAGGGGGCUCUCUGGCUAUUAACUGACGCUGAGGCGCGAAAGCGUGGGUAGCAAACAGG
rnacentral:rRNA from 1 species